rnacentral:rRNA from 1 species
UACGUAGGGUGCAAGCGUUGUCCGGAUUUAUUGGGCGAAAGAGCGUGUAGGCGGCCACACAGGUCUGCUGUGAAAACUCGAGGCUCAACCUCGAGACGCCGGUUGAAACCAUCUGGCUAGAGUCCGGAAGAGGAGAGUGGAAUUCCUGGUGUAGCGGUGAAAUGCGCAGAUAUCAGGAAGAACACCCGUGGCUAAGGCGGCUCUCUAGUACGGUACUGACGCUGAGACGCGAAAGCGUGGGGAGCGAACAGG